GGUCAAGUGAAGAAGCGCAUACGGUGGAUGCCUUGGCAGUCAGAGGCGAUGAAAGACGUGGUAGCCUGCGAUAAGCUUCGGGGAGUCGGCAAACAGACUUUGAUCCGGAGAUCUCUGAAUGGGGGAACCCACUCAGCAUAAGCUGAGUAUCUUGUACUGAAUACAUAGGUGCAAGAGGCGAACCAGGGGAACUGAAACAUCUAAGUACCCUGAGGAAAAGAAAUCAACCGAGAUUCCCUUAGUAGUGGCGAGCGAACGGGGACUAGCCCUUAAGUGGCUUUGAGAUUAGCGGAACGCUCUGGAAAGUGCGGCCAUAGUGGGUGAUAGCCCUGUACGCGAAAAUCUCUUAGUCAUGAAAUCGAGUAGGACGGAGCACGAGAAACUUUGUCUGAAUAUGGGGGGACCAUCCUCCAAGGCUAAAUACUACUGACUGACCGAUAGUGAACCAGUACCGUGAGGGAAAGGCGAAAAGAACCCCGGAGAGGGGAGUGAAAUAGAUCCUGAAACCGUAUGCGUACAAGCAGUGGGAGCCUACUUUGUUAGGUGACUGCGUACCUUUUGUAUAAUGGGUCAGCGACUUAUAUUCAGUGGCGAGCUUAACCGAAUAGGGGAGGCGUAGCGAAAGCGAGUCUUAAUAGGGCGUUUAGUCGCUGGGUAUAGACCCGAAACCGGGCGAUCUAUCCAUGGGCAGGUUGAAGGUUAGGUAACACUGACUGGAGGACCGAACCGACUACCGUUGAAAAGUUAGCGGAUGACCUGUGGAUCGGAGUGAAAGGCUAAUCAAGCUCGGAGAUAGCUGGUUCUCCUCGAAAGCUAUUUAGGUAGCGCCUCAUGUAUCACUGUAGGGGGUAGAGCACUGUUUCGGCUAGGGGGUCAUCCCGACUUACCAAACCGAUGCAAACUCCGAAUACCUACAAGUGCCGAGCAUGGGAGACACACGGCGGGUGCUAACGUCCGUCGUGAAAAGGGAAACAACCCAGACCGUCAGCUAAGGUCCCAAAGUUAUGGUUAAGUGGGAAACGAUGUGGGAAGGCUUAGACAGCUAGGAGGUUGGCUUAGAAGCAGCCACCCUUUAAAGAAAGCGUAAUAGCUCACUAGUCGAGUCGGCCUGCGCGGAAGAUGUAACGGGGCUCAAACCAUACACCGAAGCUACGGGUAUCACUUAGGUGAUGCGGUAGAGGAGCGUUCUGUAAGCCUGUGAAGGUGAGUUGAGAAGCUUGCUGGAGGUAUCAGAAGUGCGAAUGCUGACAUGAGUAACGACAAUGGGAGUGAAAAACUCCCACGCCGAAAGACCAAGGUUUCCUGCGCAACGUUAAUCGACGCAGGGUUAGUCGGUCCCUAAGGCGAGGCUGAAAAGCGUAGUCGAUGGAAAACAGGUUAAUAUUCCUGUACUUCUGGUUAUUGCGAUGGAGGGACGGAGAAGGCUAGGCCAGCUUGGCGUUGGUUGUCCAAGUUUAAGGUGGUAGGCUGAGAUCUUAGGUAAAUCCGGGAUCUUAAGGCCGAGAGCUGAUGAUGAGUUGCCAUUAGGCGACGAAGUGGUUGAUGCCAUGCUUCCAAGAAAAGCUUCUAAGCUUCAGAUAACCAGGAACCGUACCCCAAACCGACACAGGUGGUUGGGUAGAGAAUACCAAGGCGCUUGAGAGAACUCGGGUGAAGGAACUAGGCAAAAUGGCACCGUAACUUCGGGAGAAGGUGCGCCGGUGAGGGUGAAGGACUUGCUCCGUAAGCCCAUGCCGGUCGAAGAUACCAGGCCGCUGCGACUGUUUAUUAAAAACACAGCACUCUGCAAACACGAAAGUGGACGUAUAGGGUGUGACGCCUGCCCGGUGCCGGAAGGUUAAUUGAUGGGGUUAGCUAACGCGAAGCUCUUGAUCGAAGCCCCGGUAAACGGCGGCCGUAACUAUAACGGUCCUAAGGUAGCGAAAUUCCUUGUCGGGUAAGUUCCGACCUGCACGAAUGGCGUAACGAUGGCGGCGCUGUCUCCACCCGAGACUCAGUGAAAUUGAAAUCGCUGUGAAGAUGCAGUGUAUCCGCGGCUAGACGGAAAGACCCCGUGAACCUUUACUAUAGCUUUGCACUGGACUUUGAAUUUGCUUGUGUAGGAUAGGUGGGAGGCUUUGAAGCGUGGACGCCAGUUCGCGUGGAGCCAUCCUUGAAAUACCACCCUGGCAACUUUGAGGUUCUAACUCAGGUCCGUUAUCCGGAUCGAGGACAGUGUAUGGUGGGUAGUUUGACUGGGGCGGUCUCCUCCUAAAGAGUAACGGAGGAGUACGAAGGUGCGCUCAGACCGGUCGGAAAUCGGUCGUAGAGUAUAAAGGCAAAAGCGCGCUUGACUGCGAGACAGACACGUCGAGCAGGUACGAAAGUAGGUCUUAGUGAUCCGGUGGUUCUGUAUGGAAGGGCCAUCGCUCAACGGAUAAAAGGUACUCCGGGGAUAACAGGCUGAUACCGCCCAAGAGUUCAUAUCGACGGCGGUGUUUGGCACCUCGAUGUCGGCUCAUCACAUCCUGGGGCUGAAGCCGGUCCCAAGGGUAUGGCUGUUCGCCAUUUAAAGUGGUACGCGAGCUGGGUUUAGAACGUCGUGAGACAGUUCGGUCCCUAUCUGCCGUGGACGUUUGAGAUUUGAGAGGGGCUGCUCCUAGUACGAGAGGACCGGAGUGGACGAACCUCUGGUGUUCCGGUUGUCACGCCAGUGGCAUUGCCGGGUAGCUAUGUUCGGAAGAGAUAACCGCUGAAAGCAUCUAAGCGGGAAACUUGCCUCAAGAUGAGAUCUCACUGGAGCCUUGAGCUCCCUGAAGGGCCGUCGAAGACUACGACGUUGAUAGGUUGGGUGUGUAAGCGCUGUGAGGCGUUGAGCUAACCAAUACUAAUUGCCCGUGAGGCUUGACCAU
rnacentral:rRNA from 1 species